rnacentral:snoRNA from 1 species
UUAAAGUGAUGACACACUUUUUUCAGUUCUGCUUCCGACCUGAGACCAUGGUGGAUAACCCUUUACCAAAAUAUUAUUCUGAUUU